UCUCAUAAAUAUUGAGUUCAAAUUCGAUGGGUAAUCGGACAUCAGAAUUCAUCGAUAUGUAACCCUGAUCGAAGAGUCCCAAACCAGUGGGACUCUUGACCCCGGUACCCAAAAUGUGUGGGACUCAUGAUCAGAGAAUCUUAAUUCUCUAUCAUAAAGUCUCAGACAUGUAGGACUCAUAGUUCACAAGCAUAAGGACUCUUCAUCAGCUAUUAGAUCAGAUAGGAACCUCUAAUGUGUGUGACCCCGCAGGUUCGAACCUAAGCCGGUAGCACAGGAAUCAAUUUCUGUACUAAUUGAAGUGACCAUCUAGCA
rnacentral:lncRNA from 1 species